rnacentral:miRNA from 11 species
AUAUGUGUGUGUGUGUGUGUGUGUGUGUGUGUGUAUAUAUAUAUAUAUACACAUACAUACACACACACACACACACACACACACACAUA